UGUUAAAUAAUAUAAUAUAUUAUAUAUGACUGUUACUCAUAAAAUUUCAAUUGAAUUAACAUGU
rnacentral:tRNA from 1 species